rnacentral:rRNA from 1 species
UACGUAGGUGGCAAGCGUUGUCCGGAUUACUGGGCGUAAAGAGCGCGCAGGCGGUCGUGCAAGUCGCGUGUGAAAGCCCCCGGCUCAACUGGGGAGGGUCACGCGAUACUGCUCGACUUGAAGGCAGGAGAGGGAAGUGGAAUUCCCGGUGUAGUGGUGAAAUGCGUAGAUAUCGGGGAGGAACACCAGUGGCGAAGGCGACUUCCUGGCCUGUUCUUGACGCUGAGGCGCGAAAGCUAGGGUAGCAAACGGG